rfam:Pteropus alecto contig99765, whole genome shotgun sequence.
GUGCUCGCUUCAGCAGCACAUAUAUAAACAAUUGGAAUGAUACAGAGAAGAUUAGCAUGGCCCCUGCACAAAGAUAACACGCAAAUUCGUGAAGUGCUCCAUAUUUUG